UACUGGUCAGCGUCAAACUUAGAGUUGGCGCUUAUAAGUUUCCGAC
rnacentral:antisense_RNA from 1 species